AUGGAGCAACUGCGAAAAGAAAUGGCUGAGGAUAUACUAAAAAUGUCUGAGUUCAACAAAGCCAACAACUGCUUCAUGUGUGCCACUGAUAAAGAACCUGGAUGUGGCCCAAAGACUGACUGGAUUGAAUGUUUUGCAUGCCAACGGUGGUUCCAUGUGCUGUGCCUAGGAAUGAAGACAAAAGAGUUCAACAGAGUAAAGAACACAAACUGGAAGUGCAGUCUUUGUUGUUGAAAAUGUAUGCUAUACCCCAUCCACACUGAAGAGGCUCUAAAAUGUACAUCAACCAGGGAU